rnacentral:lncRNA from 1 species
UUACAUUAGUUAUAGGCCGUUCCAAGAUGCUGUCAAAAUUAAAUCAAUAUGGCUACUGGAAGGCAAACAUUGAAUAUUAUUCUAUCAGGUUCUUAUGGUUUUAGAUCAUUUUAGUUGUUGUACAAAGAUUAAUUUAACAUUUUCUCUGGAAGUAUUAAUUUAGAAAGAUAAUAUGCCUCAUUGGUGUUGUGUUUUUAAGUGUGAAAUGCAAAGUAAUCGUGAUAGUUAGCUUUUACCACUUACCAUCAGUGCUACAUUCUAAGCACAAAACUGAACCAAUUUAACUAAAUAAGUUAUAGUUAUCAUCUGAGAGACAACAACAAUGGUAAAAUGCAAUAAAAUAUAAAGAUUUUACUAGCAAAAUGGAAAUUCCCCUGUAAUCAUCUUAUAUCUGGAAAACCAGCCGACUUAACUGAUAAUAACAAUCCAGACUGGGUUCCUUCAAUAAAUAUGGGGUAUAUAAACACAAUGAAAUGAGUUCCCCAAAAUCUAAAAUGGGAAUUAAGGUACCAAAGGAGAAUUAAAAGAAAAGGGUACCUACAAGAAAAAA